rnacentral:lncRNA from 1 species
AUUUCAAAGAAUGAGUGACUUUGAGUUGAUAUUUUAGUUGGUUAUGUUACUUUUGAAUUUUGUUUUCACAGCAGCAGCUAACACGUGAAAAUUAGCCCCCAUUCUGUUUUCAUGUUAAAGCUCGUCUCAUCUCAUUACAUUUCUUGUUAUUCAGUGCAAAAAUUGUGCUUGAAGAGGACAGAGAACAGAUACGCUUGAUUGAAGAAGAAGAAAGGAGAGAGCGGAUGUGAUUGGCAAAGAGGCAAAAGCGAUGAUAGAAGAAAUUCUGCAAUAAUAACAGAUUUGGCUGUUGAAUUAGCUCAACAAUUGCUAGAAGAGCGAAAAAUGUGGGGAGCCUCACCUUGAUAUUACUAGAGGUUGAUUCAAUAUGUUAGUGGACGAGGAAUGGGGCUUUGGUAAUUUUUCAUCAUCUCCCAGCUCAACAAUUUGUUUGUUAAAUUAGUUGUUUGGGGAUCAUACAACUCAAAGAUCCCGUUGCAAUCAACAAUUUACAUUCCACAUAAAAAAAAUUCUGCUUGUACUUACAAUCUUUUUUUAGACACACCAUACAUUUUAUUUGUCGAUUACACUUAAG